UACGUAGGGGGCAAGCGUUAUCCGGAUUUACUGGGUGUAAAGGGAGCGUAGACGGAAUUGCAAGUCUGAUGUGAAAAUCCGGGGCCCAACCCCGGAACUGCAUUGGAAACUGUAUUUCUAGAGUGUCGGAGAGGAAAGUGGAAUUCCUAGUGUAGCGGUGAAAUGCGUAGAUAUUAGGAGGAACACCAGUGGCGAAGGCGACUUUCUGGACUGUACCUGACGCUGAGGCGCGAAAGCGUGGGUAGCGAACGGG
rnacentral:rRNA from 1 species